UAGAAUGGGAAUACUGUACACUUUUUGAAGGAAAUAUGGAAAAACCUUAUGAAGCGUUUGUGGUUUCCUAUUUCACUGGCGAUUCCAUCGUAAUCAUGACUUUGUACAAUAUUUCACUGGAGAUGCUAGUGAGGCCAGUUUUGCCAGUUUUGCAGGCGCAGAAGAAACCGUACUUACCUCCACUACAUUAGGCGACAAGCUUACGCAAUCAAUACGCUCACAAUAGGCUCUUUCAUUCACAAUAUGUUCUUGCAGAGAAAAUUGAGUUCAACGGUCUUAUUUGCUUCAUUCGUAAAAGGUCGGUCCGCGUGCUGAACGGACCGCUGUCAUUCUGUCACUUAACGAUGUGUGGCAUUGCAUAUAUAGAGAUAUUACUCGGCCUUCCGAUGGUUUUCUGGCCAGUGUUAAUGGAUCACUAAUGUCUUAUUUAGUCACCUGAUCGCAUCCUUGAAGAGUACGACACAACGCUCGGUGGAUCACCUGUACCCUGGAACUAACUGGAAACAUACUUGCUUCGGAUUUCAAUUUCCGUAUCGUUUCGCGACCGACCGGCCAUAGGCUGGAGGAAUUGAAUAAAACGAUCAUACUCCGAUACUAAUCCUACGGAUGAUGUGCUACAAAGCAUUUCUUGCAGCAUGCUAAAAUUUAUUUGAAGCCGGCUUUCUUAGCCACCACCUGGAAAUUCUCGACGGAAUGUCAUGCCGUUGAAAUGGGAAGGUGAUGUCGUACAAACUUUGGCAAAGACAUGAUACGGAGCUGUUUUGCCCUAAACGAGAGAAAACAAAAGCUAUGCCACCUAUCCAGAAAUUCGAUCCUAACCAUAAGAAUGUAUAAGCACCAUUUUCGGCAUUUCAUUUUAUUCUUAGCAGUUGCCAUUACCGGCCACUUUCGAUUAAAUACUGCCAAAUGCUGUCAGUGUUAGAUCUAAAGAUUCAUUAUGACUGUCGUUGUGAGAGCUGUCUAUUAACCGUUCUGAAAACAUUUUUUGUUUUGAAUACUUCUUCUGCUGUAGCUAAAACAGUUUUAGACCGAA